GUAGACGUGUGUGUGUGUGUGUGUGUGUGUGUGUGUGUGUGUGUGUUAUUUUUUUUUAUUUUUUUUUAAGAUUUUAUUUAUUUAUUUGAGAGCGAGAGAAUGAGAGACAGCAUGAGAGGGAGGAGAGUCAGAGGGAGAAGCAGACUCCCUGCUGAGCAGGGAGCCCGAUGUGGGACUCGAUCCCGGGACUCCAGGAUCAUGACCUGAGCCGAAGGCAGUCGCUUAACCAACUGAGCCACCCAGGCGCCCUGUGUGUGUGUUUUAAUAUGUCGCCCGAGUAUCAUACAGAAUAAUAAAAAUCAGUUCGUCUCCAAACUCCUCAUCGAGUAUUCCUCACCAGCCCCGUGUCCUAACAGAGCAAGGCCCAGGUCUAGCACGAGGGCUGGAAGCUCUGGCUCCAUAUCCAGCUUUCCUUCAGCUCUAUCUUCACCAGGACAGGAGCUUCAGAUUCUUCUAGCAAGCGUCUCAACCUCAGGGACAGAAGAUUGUACCAUCCGUGCGGCAGGGCUGCGGCAGGCAAGCUGACUGCGCGGUCACGUGAGGCUGGUGGUGGCUCACGUGACCACGCUCUCACUUGGGCAAACACAGAGGUGUGCAGCACGGAAAAGGGGCAGGAAGGACGUACACUUGACGAGUGACAGACUGCCGUGGGAGGAGUGGUAGGACGUUGUGGUGGGUGGGUGGGUGGGUGGGUGUCUCUCCAUGCUGCACUAACCUGGAAACGAAUUUCUUGGGCGAUCAGAAUUACAGCGUUUGUUGGUAGAGGGCACAGCCCCUCGGCCUGUUGCCAGAGUCUUAGCCGGGGUCAGUCUUUUGCCCAGGAGCUCAAGAGGCAGGAAGUCAUCCUGCGGGAGGAAGACGUGAGAGAAGCAGCGGUUGCUGUUGGAGGAGGUGUUGGUGAGGAUGUGGAGAAAAGGGAACCUCAUCACUUUUAUCUUAGUAAGCAGAGCCCCCAGCCAACAUGUGUUGGGUAUGUAGUGUGAACAAGAAAUAUAUUUUUGUUGUUUUAAGUUACCGAAAUUUAGUUUUUUGUUACUGCUACAUAAUGCAUCAUGUCCUGACUGAUAUGCUCAUGCACAAUCGUAGAA
rnacentral:lncRNA from 1 species